GCGGAUGUAGCUCAGUGGUAGAGCACCUGCUUGCCAAGCAGGGGGUCGCGGGUUCGAAUCCCGUCCUCCGCU
rnacentral:tRNA from 1 species